rnacentral:rRNA from 1 species
GCCCUUACUCCUACGGGAGGCAGCAGUGGGGAAUAUUGGACAAUGGGCGCAAGCCUGAUCCAGCCAUGCCGCGUGAGUGAUGAAGGCCCUAGGGUUGUAAAGCUCUUUCACCGGUGAAGAUAAUGACGGUAACCGGAGAAGAAGCCCCGGCUAACUUCGUGCCAGCAGCCGCGGUAACACGUAGGAGACUAGCGUUAUUCGGAUUUACUGGGCGUAAAGCGCGUGCAGGCGGUUCGGUUAGUUGGAUGUGAAAGCUCCUGGCUUAACUGGGAGAGGUCGUUCAAUACUGCCGGACUUGAGAGUGGUAGAGGGAGAUGGAAUUCCGGGUGUAGUGGUAAAAUGCGUAGAUAUCCGGAAGAACACCAGUGGCGAAAGCGGUCUCCUGGACCAUUUCUGACGCUCAGACGCGAAAGCUAGGGGAGCGAACGGGAUUAGAGACCCCGGUAGUCCUAGCUGUAAACGAUGUAGACUUGGCGUUGGAGGGGUUAAAUCCUUCAGUGCCGAAGCAAACGCGAUAAGUCUACCGCCUGGGGACUACGGCCGCAAGGUUAAAACUCAAAGGAAUUGACGG